UCGGGUAAGUUCGGCUGAAGUCGGUGACGUCAACGUGCGCAAUAGUUCAGUGCGCAUUGACGAAGGAAAGAGAGAGAAGGAGAAUAUUGAGGAUGAAACGCAAAGAGAGCACGGUUAUACCGGGCGAGGAGAGAGUGUAACGCCUGAUAAGACCGAGCGAUGGUCGCUCUCGUGAGAGUGCGUGAUCCGAGCAACGUACCUUUUCUAUUUUGACAGUUCUACCUUUCGUCCCGUUGAAGAAAAACAGAUAAGGAUAAUAUCUGAGGAAAUUUAAUAUCGGAAUAAAAACUGUACUUUUUUAAAUACACAGGUAUCACAACACAACGGAUCCGCCAUUAUACUUUGUGUCUCUCUCUGUUUUAUUAUUUUUUAUUUUCCUUUUUUUGACUCGAUACACAAGCUUCUCUCUCUCUCUCUCUUUCUCUCUUUUCUUUGAUCGUUUCACUUUACCCUUUCUCUCGAUUUCAUAGAACGAGGAUGCAAGUUGUCGUGAUCGUAGUUUAGUUCGUUCGCGGGUGUCAUUGAACGCCGUUGAAUUUGAAUAGAGUGCGAGAGAGAUAGGUAGACGGACAGAGAGAGAUAUAUAAAAUAGAAAAGGAAAGCUUAAAAGAGACAAAGACGAAAAGUGGGAGAUCGUGAGUCAAAAAAUUUUUGGUAAUAUUCUUUGAUACAUACGGGGUAGAGAGAGAAAUCAAAAAGCAGUGUAUUGUGUUUGCUGCUGCUGCUGUGCGCGAACGUGAGAUAUUGGUGAUGUGUUUGUAAGUGCGCGUCUUUAAAGCUUUUUCGUACAAGUUUUAUAUAUAUACUACAUAUACAAUAUACGUGCAACGAGCCACCUUCGUUUCAUCCAACGAUAUGCUAAUUCAGUGAAAACUGGGAAGCAAGUGCUAUUCGAAAAAGAAAUCGAACGAUCAACAAAUUUUCCUAACUCUUCUCUUCCUCCUUCUGCUACUGCUCUUGUGUUACGUUUCGGAGUUUCCUUAUUUUUCUUUCCCUUUCCUUUUCUUAUUUUCUUUCUUCCUCUUUUCCUUUUUUUUACAUUCACAGACAAAGGUGACCGCCUUUGGUGCCGCCUCGAGGACUGGCUCUCAUUCUUUCUCUCUCUGUGAUAUAGCUUUUUCUCUUUCUCUUUCUAUCUCUUUCCCCUACUCCUACUCCUCUUUUAUCCUUCUCGCUCUUUUUCUCUUGUUCUUUUCCUUCUCUUCGUUCCUCUCUCGGUCCUCUUCACCGCAAUCCGUCUAGUAUAUACACGCGCGUUCGACCCUCGAGGGAAAAAGAAGUGGAAGAAAGAGAAGGAGGAAUAAGAAAAAGAAAGAAAAAAAGUAAAAGAAGAAUAAGAAGAAGGAUAAGACGAAGAAGAAGAAUGGAGGCGGUAGCCAAGCACGACUUUACCGCGACAGCCGAGGAUGAGCUUAGCUUUCGCAGGUGUCAAGUCCUUAAGAUUUUGAAUAUGGAGGAUGAUAUAAAUUGGUUCAGAGCCGAAUUAGAUUCCAGAGAAGGACUCAUUCCAAGUAAUUACAUAGAAAUGAAAAAUCACGAUUGGUAUUACGGAAAGAUUACAAGAGCAGAUGCAGAAAGGCUAUUAAUGAAUAAGCAUGAAGGUGCCUUUCUGAUUAGAAUCAGUGAAAGCUCUCCUGGAGACUUUUCACUAUCUGUAAAAUGUUCAGAUGGUGUGCAACAUUUUAAAGUAUUAAGAGACGCUCAAGGCAAGUUUUUUCUUUGGGUUGUUAAGUUUAAUAGUUUGAAUGAACUGGUAGAAUAUCAUCGUACAGCAUCUGUAUCACGUUCGCAAGAUGUUAAAUUACGUGAUAUGAUUCCUGAAGAGUGUUUAGUGCAAGCAUUAUAUGACUUUGCUCCACAAGAACCUGGUGAAUUGGAGUUCAGGCGGGGAGAUGUAAUAACUGUUACAGAUCGCACAGAUCAGCAUUGGUGGCAUGGGGAAAUUGGUAAUAGAAGAGGACUGUUUCCAUCUACCUACGUUACUCCCUAUCACUCCUAGGUUGUAGAAAAAGAACAAAUGAAUCUUCUGUUUUAGGCCUGAUUUAAUAUAUAAUGCAGGUCUCAACUAUUGACCGCCUUAUCCCACCAUCAAUCAUAUACAGAAUGAUCAGUUUCGCUGCAAAAAUACCACUAAUCGAAGAAACCGGGACCUUGGCGAGAAAAGGGCCUAGUUACAAAAAAUAAAAUAAAAUAACAAUUGCAUAAGAAAUCUUACUAAAAAAAAGAACAAAACAAAAUUAUAAUAAUAAUAACUUUAUAUACGAACGUGUAUAGCGUUUAAAAAGAAAAAAAAAAAAGCGCAUCGCCUUUUGGCAUUAGACAAUUUUUUGUUGUCUCUUUUUAUCGUCAAUAUUUUCGCAAAUGAAUAAAAGAAGAAGAGAGAAAGCAUUUCUUUUCUUACGUUUUUAUUAUACGUUCGAUAAAUAACGCGAAUAUUUCAGAUAUAUUAUCUGUACCAUACACAUACACACACACACACAUACACAUACAGCGUACACACAUAUACAAAUACGAAUAGACUAAAUAUAUAUAUAUAUUAUAUAUAUAUAUGAAUAAAAAAGAAAAAAAGCUUGUUCGAUUUUUAGUCAUAAGGAAAUAUUGAAAGAAUUGGUGUAAUCUGUUUUAAAAAGUUAUUAUUAUUAAUUAUCAUUGUUUCUCUCUUUCUCUCUCUGAUCAUCUAUAUUAUACAUACAUAAGCAGUUAAAGCGCUUAAAGAGAUUUAUUUUGUAAUUAAAAGAAUCUUAUGGAAUGCGUCAGGUUUGAAAAAUAAUAAUUAUAAUAAUAAAAAAUAAUUUUUGUUUUAUUUUAGAGAUUUACUAUUUAGCGGGGAGAGACAAAUACUACAUAUACAAAAAUAUUGAAGAAGAUAAUCAUAUAAGAUUAUUUAAAAUAAAUAUUCUGACUGAUUAUCUUUGACACAAUUGUGUAAGAAAUAUUACAUGAAUGCAGAAAUAUAAAGAAAUACGAAUACUUCAUAUGAUAAAAACACUAUUGCUAUUUAAAAAAAAAAAAAAAGAAAAAAAAAAUAGUAAACAAAUAUUGCUAAUAUGCACUUUAUUUGUCUAGCAAAUUUUUUAAUCUGCCUAUUUCUCAUUUGUUGCAAACAAAAAUAAAAAAAAAAA
rnacentral:misc_RNA from 1 species